AGUCAAUGAGCUUGAUAAAAGCUUAUAUUUUGAAAAUAUAAGAAAGAAAUAAUUUUCUAUUGACUU
rnacentral:tRNA from 1 species